rnacentral:rRNA from 1 species
AGCGAACGCUGGCGGCAGGCUUAACACAUGCAAGUCGAGCGGGCCCUUCGGGGUCAGCGGCAGACGGGUGAGUAACACGUGGGAACGUACCCUUGGGUUCGGAAUAACGCUGGGAAACUAGCGCUAAUACCGGAUACGCCCUUUUGGGGAAAGGCUUGCUGCCGAAGGAUCGGCCCGCGUCUGAUUAGCUCGUUGGUGGGGUAAUGGCCUACCAAGGCGACGAUCAGCAGCUGGUCUGAGAGGAUGAUCAGCCACACUGGGACUGAGACACGGCCCAGACUCCUACGGGAGGCAGCAGUGGGGAAUAUUGGACAGUGGGCGCAAGCCUGAUCCAGCCAUGCCGCGUGAGUGAUGAAGGCCUUAGGGUUGUAAAGCUCUUUUGUCCGGGACGAUAAUGACGGUACCGGAAGAAUAAGCCCCGGCUAACUUCGUG